GAUGAACGCUGGCGGCGUGCUUAACACAUGCAAGUCGAACGAAGCACUUUAUUUGAUUUCCUUCGGGACUGAUUAUUUUGUGACUGAGUGGCGGACGGGUGAGUAACGCGUGGGUAACCUGCCUUGUACAGGGGGAUAACAGUUGGAAACGGCUGCUAAUACCGCAUAAGCGCACAGCAUCGCAUGAUGCAGUGUGAAAAACUCCGGUGGUAUAAGAUGGGCCCGCGUUGGAUUAGCUAGUUGGUGAGGUAACGGCCCACCAAGGCGACGAUCCAUAGCCGACCUGAGAGGGUGACCGGCCACAUUGGGACUGAGACACGGCCCAAACUCCUACGGGAAGCAGCAGUGGGGAAUAUUGCACAAUGGGCGAAAGCCUGAUGCAGCGACGCCGCGUGAGCGAAGAAGUAUUUCGGUAUGUAAAGCUCUAUCAGCAGGGAAGAUAAUGACGGUACCUGACUAAGAAGCACCGGCUAAAUACGUG
rnacentral:rRNA from 1 species